GCCUGGGCGGUUGAGUCGGUUAAGCAUCCGACUGCGGCUCAGGUCAGGGUUUGUGGGUUCAAGCCCCACCGCGGGCU
rnacentral:tRNA from 1 species